UCAGUAGUAGUCACUACAUUUAGAGAGUAGGCUAAAUUAUGUAUCACUAUGAAGAAUGCGGUCUGAGCAAUAUUUGGCUGCGCAAUGGAUUUACAAUUGAAAAUGAUGAAGACUAUGGUGAACUCGUAUCUAUUGAAUCUGUUCAUGAGCUUCAUAAUGCCAUUGGGUUGUUCUUAAUUACGCAAAAGCCUGACUUGAAUGGUGAGGAAAUUCGUUUUUUACGUAAAGAACUAAACUUGUCACAGAAGAAUCUUGCUGGGCUUUUAGGAGUCAGUGAGACUAGUAUUAGACAUUGGGAAGCUGAUCGCGGUUUAAUUGGUAAACCUACUGAGCUAUUACUUCGUGCAUUAUAUAAAGAGCAUGUUCAAGGUGAUGGCAAACUAAGAAGUAUGAUUGAGUCAUUAAAUCAUCAGGAACGAACUUUAGUACCAAGUGAAAUUAGUUUUUCAUAUGGAAAUAACCAUUCAUGGCAUCAAACCAAUUGUGAAAUAGCUUAGUUAGUUUUAUUUGAUAGAAACCACCUUCGGGUGGUUUUCCUUUAUGUGACAUUUAGUAACCAGUUUGUUAAAGUUAGUACACUUUAUAACAAACGGUGAAAUUCAUGAAAAAAAUAUUGGCUGCGGGUUUAAUUGGUCUUGGGUUGGUGGGGUGCGCUACUCCAGCCUAUAAUUAUCAAGCUAUACCUAAAAAUAUAAGCAAACCGCCAAUUGGAUCAGUUAAUAAAGCAUUUGUAGGGGAUCAAAUGCUUGAACAGGGAAUGGUGGUUGAUCGUGAAGUUCUAAACGUCCCUGAAAAUAUUAAAAUUAGUUUUGCUUAUUCACUUACUUCAGGCAUUUACUUAAAAACAGGCAAAAAUGAAAAAGGGCAAUAUUUUCAGCCAUUCAACACUGUCAGUG
rnacentral:rRNA from 1 species